AUGGGUUUUCCUUUCGAAUAUGUGGAACGAGCGAUGGCUUAUCCAAGUUUUGAUAAGAAGACAGUUUCUAAAGCAGCUCUAAAUAAAAGAAAAAAGGAAACGGAUUUCAAAGGUCCAAAAUGUUUGGAAUCUGAGAAAGAUGAGUUGGAUGGUGAUCUGCCUGAACUAGUUAUUGAUGAAAAGGAAAAAGCUUUGCUGAAAGAAAUUCAAAAAUUCGAAUUGGAAGUUAAAAAAGGAACAGCAAAUAAAUAUUCAUCAUCAUCACAGUUUUCUUCUUCAAAUUCGGAUGCUUGUGAUUCAGUUGGUGAUACUUCGGAUACUGGUGCGGUUGAUGCUAUGCUCAAGAAUGAUAAGGAUGCUGCUGAUAUUGCCUGGAAACGGUUCAAAAUAAUGCGCCAAUGUUGUUGUUCGGGGUCGGACUGUUUUUCGGACAAGGAUCUCGACGCAGUAUCAGCGUCUUCGUCUUCCCAUCUUAUUUCCGAAGAGGAUGCCGAGAUCGGAGAGAAAAAGGAGCCAUCAUCUGCACCAACUACUGAAGAGACAGGGACGGAGAAUGAAGAGGAAGAUGAUAAAGAGAAGACUGAUAAAGAGAAAUUAGACGCAGAGGAAGAGAAAGAAUUGGCUGAAAAACGUCUUGAAAGAGAGCAAAAACUCUAUAAAGAUUUGAAAUCUUCGUCUGAUGACACGUCAUCAUCUAUUGAUGAUAAAAUGAAUUUUGACGAUGAGAUUGAAUAUUUGGAAGAGAUGUUGGAUAAAAUAGACAAACAGAAAGACAGAAAAGGACCGAAAGAUGAAACUGAAGACACUGAUGCUACGGGAGAUGAAGAGGAUAGCAUGUUUGAAGAAGUCAAGACGGCGUCCAACAAGUCGGGAGCCGAAAAAUCGUCAGCCGAGCAAACAAGCACUGCAGGUGCGGAGACAUCUUUGAGUCAAUCAUACUCUUCAACAACUGAUACAUCAUCUGCAAUGCUUGAUUCUGAAUCAAUAAUCAUUACGUCUUCGGAUCCAGAUGCAGACAAUGCGGAUCUUGAUUGAAAUAUUGAAAAGUUCAAUUGGGAUUCUGAUGAUCUUUAUAAGUCGACUGAUACGGAUUCUGAAAAAUUGAAGACUUUCCAACUUCCUAUGCCGCGUUUUCUGAAAAAGACCAAAUACGAAAUGAUGGAAGAACUGGAUCCUGAUGGUCCCGUAAGUGAAGUUUAGGCAAUAAUCCUGAAAGCAGUUCAUCGACAUCCAAUCAAUUUUGGCUCGUUCAAAGUAUCAGAUCGGGUUGUAUGCGCUCUGCAAAGCUUGCCAGCCAAAAGAAUCCAGAACAUUUGCAAUUGCAGAAGGAUUUAAAUAAACAACGCAAGCUUCUCUUUGAUUUGCUCCCAGAGCUCUCGAAUCCAUCGCAUAUUGCCCGUCUUGUUGAUGUUGGAUAUGAUGACGAUUUCAAAUUCCUAAUUUUUGAGGAUUUCGGAAUGGAUUUUCUGACGCUUUUUGAUGAGUUUGGACCUGUUUUGAAUCCUGCCACACUGUUUCUUAUCAGUUAUUUCACUUUCAAUGCUAUCAAGGAACUUCACUCAUUCGAUAUUGUUCAUUUGGAUAUUCGUCCAUCUUCAUUUAGUGUCAAUCAGCAUCCAUUCAAUAUUAAGAUCACUGAUUAUUCAAGAUGCAUGACGAGAAAACCAGAAAUGAAAGUUCCUGACGAUGCUCGCCCCGACUCGUUUUCUCCGAGAGUUUUCCAUCAAAAAGAUGCACAAUUCGACGAAUUUGUGGACUUUGAGGCUUGGGUUUACACGAUGCUAUUUCUGUGUACUGUUGAGAAGCUUCCAUGGUUCGGAGAUGCGGAGAAUAUGCUCAGACUGAAGGAAGAAUUUUUCAAUGAUCCAUUGAAUUAUCUUUAUGAUGGUUGUGCGGAUUUUGUUCCACUGGUUGCUUGUUUUAUCGCCGACAAAAAGUUGACCUAUGACACUUUCAUGGAGGAAAUGAAUCUGAUAUUUUCGGUGGAUGUCAUGCAAUAUUCUGACAAAGAACAACCAAGACUUUACACAAUGAAAGAACUCGAAGAAGUCAAGAAAACUAGAAGAGCUCCAGAUUUCUACACGAAUAAUGCCAUUGAUAUAGCAGAAAGUCAUUGGCAUGCAGCUGAUGAUUCGGAUCACGAUAAUUUGAGGACAUCGGAUGAGGAGAAUGAACAGAAGAGUGAGACGAAGAAGGAUUCUUGUGAGAGGUCAAGCGCUGAAGUAUCUUCUUCCACCGAACAGACCUCUGCGCCAAUGUCAGAAGCUAGUUCAUCUGAUGGUAGAAAGAAGCCGAAGAACGCUGGAAAAUCAGCUGAGAGGAAGGGGAAACCCGCAGAAAAGAAUCCGUCGAGUGAAAAGGAUGAUGAUGGGGCAACGGAGCCGAUGAGUGGUGUCGAACGACGUUCAACGCCUUCCGAUGUUGUGAAUGAAAAGGGUCGAGUGAAAGGUGAUCCGGAGAAGCAGAAGCAGGAUAGAAAGGAAAACAAAACGGAAGAACAGAACAGUAAAAUAUCCGCGCCACCGAAGCCGAAGCCGGGAAAAGGAAAAAAGGUCAGCCGCGGACUGAUCACACGCGAGUUUUUGCUGGGAAUGAGACAAGAUCUCACUGGACCACAAUCGGCAAUGACAGGCUCAUAUGAUUCCACGUCUGCCACUUCGUUAUCCACGUGGACUUCUUCUACGUGUGCAACUGAUGAAGGAGAAGAGAAGAGAAAGUUUAAGUGGAGUCUGAAGUCAGAAGAGGAUUCUGAAGUUGAGUUUUUCGAAGACUUGGAUCAAGAGGAAAGGGAGCAUUUUAGAAACUAUGAGAAUCUAGUUGCUCUUUCCAUUAAAGAUGAAGUUGCCCUCUCGUCUGGAUCUGAAGUCGAACCACUCUCUGAUAUUGAUUCUGAGGAGAAUCUGGCAAUUAUUGAAAGACUUGAGAAACGAGAGAUGGAAAUUGGUUGGGAAGUGUCGAGUGAGCGGGAGAAGACAACCGGUGAUAGAAGUCCAGAUGAUCAACUCGAUAAAUUGGAAGCAUACGAGAAGGAAAAGAAAGAGAAAGAUUAA
rnacentral:misc_RNA from 1 species